CAAUUCUCAACUCAGUUUCUCUAGAGCACUGGCCCAGCCGAGCACAGUGACAGCAGAGCAGAGCACACUCAGGAGGUGGAAGCAGGAGAAUCAGGACUUCAAAGUCAUCACAGGCGCCAAGGCUCUAAGCCAGGGUCUACCCUGGGACUUCAGGGUCCAGUGCUGUGUCCCAGCUUCCUUGGGAACACUCAUCCACUGCAUGGUGUCACCUGCACUGAUCUAGAAAGAAGGACCCCUUCAUCGAGACCUCUGGAGACUCCUCUGGCCUUGCUUACUUACUCUGUGGCAUGAGGACAAAUGGAAGACAUAGAGUCCUGAGAAUGCUGUGGAGCGAUGCCUACAGGACUGAUCAGACCUGCGCCUGAACUCCCUCGCUCUUCGUUUCCCUGAAGGCGCUAACUGGGAAUGACUCUGAAGAUCAGUAAGGUUGCUACGGGAGGAGGAGGAUGUGGAGCAGAAACAGGACAAUCUGGGCAAGUCUCGGCUGUCACACUCUGUAGCUUUGUGGCCAUGGGUAGAUAGUCAGACCUCCUGGCUCCAUUUCUCAUAAGCAUUAGCAAAUGGGGAAGUUAUUGCUGUGGUCAGCAGUAGCAGGUGGUCAGGGUCCUAGAGGUCAAUGGGAUUUAUAUCUAAGAGCUAGGCUGCCCACUUAGGUUCCUUGCUCAGUUCCUAUUCUGUGUCUCACUUCUUCCAGUAAAGUGGGGCUUGGAUGA